rnacentral:tRNA from 1 species
GUCGGUGUGUCCGAGUGGUUAAGGAGACAGAUUAGAAAUCUGUUGGGCUCUGCCCGCACAGGUUCAAAUCCUGUCGCCGACG